rnacentral:snRNA from 1 species
AUCGUUAUUUAGAUCUAAUUGUUUAUUAGGAGGGGUGCCUUUUUAAGGUCUAUCCAAAUGGUGGAGCCUACAUCAUAAUUUGUUGCUGUGGGGGUCUGCGUUCGCGCGGCCCCUUC